rnacentral:misc_RNA from 1 species
GGAAUGACGUGAGCUUCUUCUCUACAAAAGCUCACUUCUUUCUAUGGCCCUUUUACUGUUUUUCUGAUUCUUUUUCUUUCUUUCUCACAUUUUUGUUCCUGCUACGCCUUCUUUCCAGAUUAUAAGCUUCUUUUCAAUUGUUUAUUCUCCUUUUUAUUGCUCUUUAUUUUGCUUCUUUAACUAGUAAUUACUCACUACUUCCCUGAUUCUUCUUCUCACUCACUGUUGGCUAAUUCAAUCCAUUCUUUGCAGGCGGUUAUUGGCAUUAACCCGAUGGUAAAGGCUCGGAAAUUAGAAUCUUUCUUGUGGGUUUUUUGCCAUUUUCAUUUUCAUUUGCUUGUAUGUUCUGAAGUCUCCCUUAACUGAAGCAUAAUUUUGGGUUUAAAUUCUGUUUCUAAUGUUUUCAUUGUCUGCUAUGCAACUGGUUUUAUUGUACUUUAUUUGAAUUUCGCUUUCUGCUUUGGAAUUUAGGUGUGCAAUAAGUCAUUAGCUGAAUUUAAGUUUUCUUUAUUGAUUUAGCUUUCAUUGUGUCAAAUAAUAUUUUAAUUUAGUUAAAUUUUAUAUUUUUUUAAUUCCUUUUUGUGUUUUUAUGUGUUUACUUCAAGUUUUCAUAUGAAUUAGGUCUUUUUAAUGUUGAUGACGAUUGGUUGUGCUAUGGCUACUAACAGUUUUCUAACUACAAUCAAGUUUAUAUCAUUUGCAAUUUUAGGUUUAUCAUUACAUCAUUUAGCAAUAUUCGGUUUUACCAUUUUUAAUUCUAUAUUUUGUUAGCUAUGUCUUGAGCAGCAUUGUUGAAUGAAGUACUGACAUGUUAUGUAGUUUUACAGGCUUUACUUUUUCUUUUUCUGGGUUUUUUCUACCAAAUAUCAUAAUUCCAAAAGUAAACUGAAUAUAUGCUGAAUUGUAUGGCUAGUAGAUUUCUUCCCCUCCCCUCUUCCUCUUCCUCUCUCACCAUCUUCACCGAAUUUUACUUGUGUUUGGUUGCUGGAAAAUUGAGGAAGAAAAAGUGAAUAAUUUAAAAACAUCCUCCAUUUUCUUAUUUCCAAGCUUACAACAAACCACAGAGAGAUAGAGAAGCUCAAGUAAGAACUGUAUGUCCUCCAAAGGGUCAAAUAAUGAAAAUGAAGAAAGCAUACGUGUACUAGUCUGGAUAUUGGAAUAACUUUU